rnacentral:misc_RNA from 1 species
GCAUUUGAACCACACAAGCCAGUGGGAUCGCACUUGUUAUCAGAUGACUGCCAUUCCAUUGACCAAUUGCUGUAUCGAUCCAAAUUAUGCGAAUACAAUCGGAAUAUUCCAUCUGCAUCAAUUGUUGCCCGAUACAUAGCUUGAUCAAACAUGGUUCUGCCAUCACUUAGUGUCCUUAUAUUUUUGCCAUUAGUAUCCAGCAGGUACAGCAGACCAUUGGUA